UACGUAUGGUGCAAGCGUUAUCCGGAUUUACUGGGUGUAAAGGGAGCGCAAGCGGCGCGUUAAGCCUGGUGUGAAAGCCCGCGGCCCAACCGCGGGACUGCAUUGGGAACUGGCGCGCUGGAGUGCCGGAGGGGUAGGCGGAAUUCCUAGUGUAGCGGUGAAAUGCGUAGAUAUUAGGAGGAACACCAGUGGCGAAGGCGGCCUACUGGACGGUGACUGACGCUGAGGCUCGAAAGCGUGGGGAGCAAACAGG
rnacentral:rRNA from 1 species